rnacentral:lncRNA from 1 species
UAACCGAUAAUGAUGAAAUAAAAUAUAUAUGCUUAUUAGACAGCAAGUUAAACCGCACAGAUGCCUUAAACAAUGAGCACUUUAGCAGCGUGGCAUGGCCAUUUUCUAUUAUUUUGUAGCAAAGACUUUUUUUUGUAUAAUUCUAAUGCCGACUUAAAAAAGCCUUGUACUAAUUUGAAGUAAACUGAGCAUUCAUUUCUUUUUUUUUCUUUGAGAGAAAGGAAAGGAGCACUACUACUAUAUGAAAAAGGCAUUCACAUACAACUCCACAC